ACGACUAAGAGUUCGUGAUGAUGGCCAGCGGCCAGCCAGCGUAAGACGAAGAAGAAGAUGAAGCAGAAGGCCUCGAGUUAAUGCUUAGAGGAGGAGCAAGAAAAGGAGGAGGACGAGGAGAAUUGAUGGGCCUGGAGCCUAGAAAGCAGAGCGGUAUCAUAGCUACUCACCACCGUGGCAGUAGCAGCAGCUCUUCUUCUCUCGUUUCGCUCAUCCUCGUCGACGGCAUCGUUCGGACACCACCUUUGGUCGGGAUUGAUCUCCGCAACGACGAAGAGACGGUCGAUCGAUCCCGUCACUCGAGUGACACUGCUGCUGCCAACGUUCCCCAAUUCCCGCCGCAUCGCAUCGAAUUCGCAGCUCCUCGACUCAUGCAAGUAAGAGCUCUCUCUUUUCUUUCUUUCCUGCGUUCGUUCUCCCAACUUCUCGUGUUGGUGGAAGGAGAAAGUUCGCGAGUAGCCUGGCUUGCAAGGGAUAUCGGAGAUCGCUGGUGGAGUGGCCCCUUGGUUGCUUGGUUCUGUGACCAAUCACUCAACCAAUCAAUCAAUCAAUCAGUCAAGCAAUCAAUCGCUACCCUGUGGAAUUUGGAGCAAAACGAAGGAGAAGAACGAAAAAGGGAGGAAGAGAGAAGGAGAGAAGAUCUACCUUGGCUUUCACGAAUAAGCAAACUCUGAUGGAAUGUUUCACGAAUUGGGAGUAGGACACCAACAAGAAGAAUCGUCCAAGAGCUCCUCCAAACAAACAGUGACUGUGGAGUGAUGGGAGUGAGCGAGGAGUAGUAGUAGUAGUAGUGUGGAGGAGGGAAUAAAGCUUCCCAUUUCCC
rnacentral:lncRNA from 1 species